rnacentral:rRNA from 1 species
UACGUAGGUGGCAAGCGUUGUCCGGAGUUAUUGGGCGUAAAGCGCGCGCAGGCGGUUGGAUAAGUCCAUGGUGAAAGCGCCUGGCUCAACUAGGCGAGUGCCGUGGGGACUGUUCAGCUGGAGUGGAGCAGAGGCGAGUGGAAUUCCGGGUGUAGUGGUGAAAUGCGUAGAGAUCCGGAGGAACACCAGAGGCGAAGGCGUUCGCUGGGCUUUGACUGACGCUGAGGCGGCGAAAAGCGUGGGGAGCGAACCGGG